GACAGAGGUGCCAAGCGUUAGGCGGAAUCACUGGGCUUAAAGCGUGUGUAGGCGGAUCGUUAAGUCCCUUGUGAAAUCCCACGGCUCACCCGUGGAACUGCAGGGCAUACUGUCGUGCUUGAGGCAGGUAGGGGCCACUGGAACUCUCGGUGGAACGGUGAAAUGUGUAGAUAUCGAGAGGAACGCCCGCGGCGAAAGCGGGUGGCUGGGCCUGUCCUGACGCUGAUACGCGAAAGCGUGGGGAGCAAACGGG
rnacentral:rRNA from 1 species